UUGUGCAGUGGCAGUUGCAGCAGUCUUCAGAGACAGUUGGCAGUUGGGCAGCAGCCAUCUUAGGAGGACUCAGAGUAGCAACUUGGAGCAGAGCCAGCUGCUGGUGUGUGACAGGAGUGCUGUACAGCUUAUGAAAAGCCAGCUUCUAUUCCCGGUGACCGGAGAUCUUCAUUGUAGCAGCCAAUCAGUAAUAUCAGCCUCCUGUGGGGAUCCCACUGCUUCCAAUGGUGCUGGCUGACAGGCAUCUGGCAGAGCAGAACAGUGAUGGGCUCUACUGACUGUGCAGCUGGAAACUAGGCCAUGCAGCCUACCCUCCCUUUUGAAGGACAGCCCUGGAGGUAACCCUGCUUUGGAGUAACAGACGGUGGGAGGAGCAGAGACAGUGUCUUGCUGCAGCUGCAGACAGUGGUCAGCUUAUGAUGGUUAAUUGAGGCCAACCUAACCCUUGUAACACAGAAUAUUCUUUGAUCAUAUAACAAAUAACCAUCCAGAUGACUCUGAUACCAACAUAGUGGAGGUUACUCCUGCAAGACCCGGAGCCAAUAUUAAUCUUGUAUAGCUGGUCGGAGAACAUCCAUGUUGUUAACAACUUACAGGAGGUGGUUGAGCUUGUUGAAGAUGUACACCCUUACACCUAUCAGCAGCUUCAUGAAGCAGAGAGUGUACUGCCUCCCGCUUUCUACAUAAUGGACUCUGGACCUCUUCCCCUGUUGCCUGACUAUACAUUUUCAUCACAGACCCCUAUGGUCCCUAUUUACUUUUUCAUUUCAAUGCUGUGGUAUUCUAAUACACUACUGUACAUCUUGGCAUCCCUGUUCUCCCUGUGCUGCUAUGGACCUUCGCAAUCCUAGUGUGGAAGAACUGAUGGACUGAUGAUUACAAAAGGAUUUUCGGAGUAAGCAGAUCUGUUCUGACAACCAAGGAAAGCUCACGUACUACAUUUCAUUCAUUAUUAACUACCUAAGAUAGAAAACCCGGCGGUGGAAGAAGAAGCUCGGCGGUGGCGGCAAAAGACACUGUGGUGUCCAGAAGACGGCAGCCAAAGGUGGUAAGGAAGACAGAAGUUGCGGACCAAAGAGUGCUGCACUGUGUGGGAAGAGUAGUGGAGCUCCCCAUUGCAGUCUCUCCCACUGCUCAGGGUUGGUGGCCUUGGGCCACCAUCAUGUACAUUUAAUCCACCUAGACCACUAGGUUAGCCAGGUGCUAUGCCCAUGGGCACAGUCAGGCAUUUGGCCUGUGUCAUAAUAGGUGGGUCUCUUGGUCCGGGCACCCAAUAGGCGGACACUAAGUCAGUGGCUAUAUUCUAGGUCUUAAUCCUAAGUGGUCAAGACUCAUUCUAAGAGUGAUCUGGGCAUUAGGCGCCGGUCACUCCAACUUGCCCUGUUUAGGCAGGCAUCGUGCACAUGCCCACUACUUAUAAGGGGAUCUUGGUAAUAGGCCCACCCAGAUCACCAGUGUGCCCCUAAUUAGGCAGUCAUCAUAGGCCUGAGUCUAUAAAUAAGUGAGCUGGGUUCUAGACCCAGUUCACCCACCUGGUGUCCUCCAGUUAGGCAGGUUAGGGAGAGUCUGAUCCACCGAUAAACUAGGUCACUGGGCAGUGAGUCUUGCAGGUGUGUCAAAUUGCCUGAGUGCAGAUGUGAAGAGCUGUAUGGCUUCUGAGCUCAGAUUUGGGUAAUCAGUACUUUACAUGCAGAGGGCUAAGCCCUCAACUUAGUGUUGCUGUUACGGAAGGCCCCGGAUUGGGUUACGUGUGUGGAGGAGCGUACCAGUUCCACAAGUUAUUGUAAUCCUUUCCUUACACGUGAACGUUUGUUCACGGAACAGGGCUUCUGUGUGGCACUUAUUCUGGUUCCUGGAGGAGCACUUUGUUUGUUCGGUGGUGGUGAGUACCGCCAAUGGGCGAAUAUUUAAAUGUUUGCACUAUCAAGGUAGUUACCAAUUUAUAUUCCCAGUGGGACAAAAAAAAACUUUGUGGCACCAAAUCAGUAUGUGGCUGAAGUACCAGGAUAAAUCUUCCCAAUACCGAAACUUUGCUCCAUUUCAUGUUUUCUAUUGUUUUCAAAAGAGCAUUCUCACAGUGUCUCUCAUUAAAUUACAUGUUAAUUUUAGUCAAGAAAUACUGUAUUCUUUAUUUGCUUUGAAUUCAUUUUAAUUAAAUACACUUUUUAUAAGAAUGCAGUCAUACUGCGCAACCCAGCACUGAAGAGACUAUUAUUUACAUAUGCUGCAUGAUAGAACAAAUUAAUCCAUGCUAAUAUUAAAGGUUUUCCACCUCUUUUGAAGCUAAGCUUACAUAAAAAGAUAAUGGUUUUGUUUUAUAACCUUCAUUAAAAAUGUAUAUGGACUAAUGUUAACGAAAUGAUACUGAAGUCACAUAACUGUACUUUAACAUUAUGAGGCAUAAAUGCAAUUAAAGUAAUGCAUCAUCAAGGUUAAUAUUGUAAAAUAUAUAAAGGAAAUUUAAAAACAUGAUACAGAAGUUUAACUUUAAAAAAUAAAAACU